rnacentral:rRNA from 1 species
GUGUCAGCAGCCGCGGUAAUACGUACGAGGCGAGCGUUAUCCGGAAUUACUGGGCGUAAAGCGCGCGCAGGUGGCCGAUUAAGUCGGACGUGAAAUCUCCCGGCCUAACUGGGAGGGGUCGUUCGAGACUGGCCGGCUUGAGGACUGCAGAGGUGGGUGGAAUUCCUGGUGUAGUGGUGAAAUGCGUAGAGAUCAGGAGGAACACCGGUGGCGAAGGCGGCCCACUGGGCAGUCACUGACGCUGAGGCGCGAAAGCUCGGGGAGCGAACGGGAUUAGAUACCCCGGUAGUCC